AUCAACUCCUCAAGCCCCAGAGUUCUCCAAUAUAAACUCUAUAAUGUUUGCUACAAAAGACAUGGGGCUCCUUGCCUGGAACUUGCCAGUGGCAAAGGGGGAGUUUUUCAGCCUCUCCUCAUUGAAAAGCAUUGAAAGCAGUCUUCCCUCUUCUGCAGUUAGGUAAGUGGAAGAAAACUGCUGGGAGGAAAAGGUUCAUUUGCUCUGUACAUUUCUCUUACCAAGAUCCUUUACAGAGUCAAUCAUCAGUGGCUAGUACCCAAACACAACUACUGAUGAGAUGCUGUGGGAUAGGCCAGAAAGCACCAUACUGGAGAAUGGUUGUAAAGUAGCAAGAUAUACUUCCUGAGCCCUCAGUGAUCGUGGGUUGAAAAUCAUACCUCUUUUGAGCCCCAGAGCAGAGCCUGACUGUGAGGGGAUCUUUAGCUCUGUGAGUAUGUCACACAGGUUCUGAUUCCCCAUUUUGUGCCCUUAUCUGCAGAGUAGAUGGUAUUAUCUAGCCUGCCUGGCAGACCUGGAAUUUAUGUUGGUUGGAAUUAAAAGUUGGGGUAUGCCUGGGUUUUUUAACCUAUAAGAAACAAGCCUGAAGUCAAGUGCCUGAGCAAUCACACAGACACAAUGUGCGGGCUGAAAGUGCCCUUCCCUUGGACCAGCCAUCACAGUAAGAAAAGGUCUCUUGGCAGUGAGACAGACUUUUAAUAAGCAGAGCAGUAGUUUUAAUGAGUUAAGGAAUCUGUCUUUGGGAAAUCAGUGGUGUGAAUUAACUUUUGAUUCUCUCAGCAGAGAAACCAAAGAUUGAAUGAUGUCCCAUUGUCUCAAGAAACAGGUCUCCAGCCUAGAACAGAGAGGAGACUCUUGAUGUUGAUGCGCAAGCCUCCACUGCCUGGCUCUUCUGGAGCCUCAGCUCACACUGACCUACCAUACCUGGGCUUUCCAAAACCUGAGCAGGAUUUAGCAGUCAUGAUAUCUGACUCCAUUCUCUCCAGGUUAAAAUCCUGACGUCUCCUGGGAAUUCCUUCCUCAGCAAAAAUACCAUUGAUGUUACUGCUGAAUAAGGACUUCUGGACUGGACCAUAGAAUAAGCUCUGAAUAGCCCUCCAGUGUGAGGGAUCUUUGCACUUUGGAUCCUCGAUGUUGACAAUUUUUCCUGAUUUUCC
rnacentral:lncRNA from 1 species